UCUUCAGUUCUUUCAUCUUUCUUUAAUUCCUUUCUUUUUAGGGGCAAAAUUCGGAAACUUCUAAUUGUUUCUACUAAGACUGCAUUUUUAAGCACUGCACAGCAAUUGUGACUCAGUUAAAUUAAGGGCAUGUAUCGUUAUAAAUACAUUAUAAUCACUGUUCACUGGUCAACCAUAGCAUUAAAACCUGCCUAAUAUUUUUUUGACACCCCUUGUGACUACACUGCCUAUAGCAUCACACUGCCUUUGCUGCGUUGCAUUGAUUCCAUAGUGUAUACUGGUGCCAUCAAGUGACAUGCACCUCAGAUGUCCAGAUGAAGAAAAAAAAUAUCAAUAAUAAACUUGAUUCAUUAGACCAGACCACCUUCUUCCAUUGUUUGAUGGUCCAGUUCCGAUGCUCCCAGUCAGCAUGGGCACUCAGUCCAGUCUGAAACAACACAGCUCUAUGUGCAGCAAGCUGUGAUGGACUGUGUGUUUGAACCCUUUGGUCAUAGACAGCAUUAACUUUUUCAGCAGUAGACCAUAGAUACAGUAGCUUUUCAGUAGGGUAAGACCAAAUUGGUAGUCUCCGUGCCAUGAGUGCAUCAGUGAGCCCAAUCAACAGUUCUCCAGUUGUCCUUUUGGUAUGUACUAACCACUGUAUGCCAAUGUCAAACUCUGUUAAAUCCUUACUCUUACCCAUUUUUAUUGUGUUGAACACAUCCUUGUGAACUGACUGUUCAUUUAUUUCCCUUGUAUACUGAAUGUUGUUCAGUUCACAUAUUAGUGGUUUAAAUGUUUAUAGCUAUCAUUAAGGAUAAACAUAUCUUAUUUCAUCAUUUGAAAAUAAUUCUGCACAUAAAUGAGGGUACUUAAAAAAAAUGACUAAUGUAAAAAAAAAAAAAAAACACAAUUCUGCAUGGUUGUGUUCUUACAGACUAUCCAAUGUUGGCAAAAACCAAAGUGCACCAUAAAUCAAGGAUUGCUUACUUCAGCUUUACAGAGAGCUGUCUUGAACUCGUAUCACAUUUGCCCUGACACCUUUUAGAAACAGUAUGUACACUGGGGGAUCCAACCUUAACAUGAGGAAGGUUCCUCUCAAGGGACAGCAGAAAAAUCUUGACCUGACAUGACAAACUGAAGAGUCUGUUUUGCUCCUGUUCAAAGCCAAGAAAAACGACAGACUGACUGACCGACUGACUUAGUUAAUGCAAGACAAGGAGGGCCUUUGCAAAAGCAUCCUCUUCCAUGGAGUUAAUGCCGUCUGCUUCUAGAGGUGAUAUUUGAAAUCAAUCCGGUAUCACUCUUUCAGAACUUCAUCCUCCAUUCCAGCAUUGUGUUAUUUAGAAAAUCUAUAAUAAAACACUUUUCAGCUGUCAAUUGUUUUGUUUGCUUUAUUUUUAAUUCCAGUUUUGAUAUAAAGAUUAUAGUCAUGUGAUCACAGAAGUUCAGCAGAAUUUUGUACAAAUUAAUGAUUUGUAAUAAAUAAGAUAAAAAGAUGCAUAAUGUUUAA